rnacentral:rRNA from 1 species
AUUGAACGCUGGCGGCAUGCCUUACACAUGCAAGUCGAACGGCAGCAUGAUCUAGCUUGCUAGAUUGAUGGCGAGUGGCGAACGGGUGAGUAAUACAUCGGAACGUGCCCUGUAGUGGGGGAUAACUAGUCGAAAGAUUAGCUAAUACCGCAUACGACCUGAGGGUGAAAGUGGGGGACCGCAAGGCCUCAUGCUAUAGGAGCGGCCGAUGUCUGAUUAGCUAGUUGGUGAGGUAAAGGCUCACCAAGGCGACGAUCAGUAGCUGGUCUGAGAGGACGAUCAGCCACACUGGGACUGAAACACGGCCCAGACUCCUACGGGAGGCAGCAGUGGGGAAUUUUGGACAAUGGGCGAAAGCCUGAUCCAGCAAUGCCGCGUGUGUGAAGAAGGCCUUCGGGUUGUAAAGCACUUUUGUCCGGAAAGAAAUGGCUCUGGUUAAUACCUGGGGUCGAUGACGGUACCGGAAGAAUAAGGACCGGCUAACUACGUG